rnacentral:rRNA from 1 species
GACGAACGCUGGCGGCGUGCCUAAUACAUGCAAGUCGAACGCAGUGGGGACGGGUGAGUAACACGUGGGUAACCUCCCAUCAGAGGGGAUAACACUUGGAAACAGGUGCUAAACCGAUACUGAUGGAUGGACCCGCGGUGCAUUAGCUAGUUGGUGAGGGAACGGCUCACCAAGGCCACGAUGCAUAGCGGACCGUAGAGGUGGAUCGGCCACACUGGGACUGGGACACGGCCAAGACUCCGACGGGAGGCAGCAGUAGGGAAGCUUCGGCAAUGGACGAAAGUCUGACCGAGCAACGCCGCGUGAGUUAAGAGGGUUUUCGGAUCGUAAAGCUCUGUUGUUGGAGAAGCGGUAUCUAACCAGAAAGCCACGGCUAACUACGUGCCAGCCGCCGCGGUAAUUC